rnacentral:ncRNA from 1 species
CCUCCCGCUUUUUCCUCCCUGAGCGGGUGCUUUGGCAACGCGCCAGAGCCUGUAUGACCCCGGUCAAUGCCUGCUCAGACCGGGGUUUCUUUU